AACGAACGCUGGCGGCAGGCUUAACACAUGCAAGUCGAACGCCCCGCAAGGGGAGUGGCAGACGGGUGAGUAACGCGUGGGAACGUGCCCUUCGCUUCGGAAUAGCCCCGGGAAACUGGGAGUAAUACCGAAUACGCCGUAUUGGGAAAGAUUUAUCGGCGAAGGAUCGGCCCGCGUUGGAUUGGCUAGUUGGAGGUGUAAUGGACCCCCAAGGCUACGAUCCAAAGCUGGUCUGAGAGGAUGAUCAGCCACACUGGGACUGAGACACGGCCCAGACUCCUACGGGAGGCAGCAGUGGGGAAUCUUGGACAAUGGGCGCAAGCCUGAUCCAGCCAUGCCGCGUGAGUGAAGAAGGCCUUAGGGUUGUAAAACUCUUUCGCCGGAGAAGAUAAUGACGGUAUCCGGAGAAGAAGCCCGGGCUAACUUCGUGCCAGCAGCCGCCGUAAUAC
rnacentral:rRNA from 1 species